UGAUUAAGGCUUAUUAUCAAUAUCAAGGGU
rnacentral:piRNA from 1 species